rnacentral:tRNA from 1 species
AACAGUAUAUUUUAAGUAUAGAAUGUCUGUUCUGCAAACAGAUGGUGAAGAUAAUUUUUCUAUUGUUA